rnacentral:rRNA from 1 species
CGCGAAUCGCCCUUCGGGGUGCCCAGGCGCGAAAACUUUACAAUGCCGGCAACGGCGAUAAGGGAACCUCGAGUGCCAGGUUACAAAUCUGGCUGUCGUGAUGCCUAAAAAGCAUUGCAUAGCAAGGGCCGGGCAAGACCGGUGCCAGCCGCCGCGGUAACACCGGCGGCUCGAGUGGUAACCGUUAUUAUUGGGUCUAAAGGGUCUGUAGCCGGCCGGGUAAGUCUCUUGGGAAAUCUGGCAGCUUAACUGUCAGGCUUUCAGGAGAUACUGCCUGGCUCGAGGCCGGGAGAGGUGAGAGGUACUUCAGGGGUAGGGGUGAAAUCUUGUAAUCCUUGAAGGACCACCAGUGGCGAAGGCGUCUCACCAGAACGGACCUGACGGCAAGGGACGAAAGCUAGGGGCACGAACCGGAUUAGAUACCCGGGUAGUCCUAGCCGUAAACGAUACUCGCUAGGUGUCGGCCACGGUGCGACCGUGGUCGGUGCCGUAGGGAAGCCGUGAAGCGAGCCACCUGGGAAGUACGGCCGCAAGGCUGAAACUUAAAGGAAUUGGCGGGGGAGCAC